CAAAACAGCAGCAAUUUGGGACCUUUUAAUAACUUUGAUUAUUAAAAGCACUAAAGAAUCUGGUCUUGUAUAGACCUUGCCAAAAAUGUAAGGUUCGAUUAUAACAAAUUAUUAAAAAUAUAAAGUCUUGGAUAAUCUGUGCCUUCCAUAUAUGGGUUGUAUUGAUAUAUUUUAUGACUUCAAAGAUAUUCUGACACAACUAGAAUCCCCCCCCCC
rnacentral:lncRNA from 1 species